rnacentral:rRNA from 1 species
UGUUUCGGCUAGGGGGCCAUCCCGGCUUACCAACCCGAUGCAAACUGCGAAUACCGGAGAAUGUUAUCACGGGAGACACACGGCGGGUGCUAACGUCCGUCGUGAAGAGGGAAACAACCCAGACCGCCAGCUAAGGUCCCAAAGUCAUGGUUAAGUGGGAAACGAUGUGGGAAGGCCCAGACAGCCAGGAUGUUGGCUUAGAAGCAGCCAUCAUUUAAAGAAAGCGUAAUAGCUCACUGGUCGAGUCGGCCUGCGCGGAAGAUGUAACGGGGCUAAACCAUGCACCGAAGCUGCGGCAGCGACACUGUGUGUUGUUGGGUAGGGGAGCGUUCUGUAAGCC